UUCUGAGAAACAGACUCGGAUGGUAAUAGGUUUUAACAGCUUUCUUUUACACCUGCGAAUCUUCCUCCUUGCUAGAACAGUGGUAAGUAGCCCCAGUUGUACUGGAAAAUGCCCUGGAGAGCUUUUGAAAGUGCUGAUACCCAGCCCCACCCUUGGAGAUGCCGCUGUAAUGGGUCCGGGCUGGCAGGCUGGGUGUGCUGUGAGAGUUCUGUGCUUUAAGCACUCUCAGGGUGAUGUGAAAGUGCUGCUGCCUGGGACGCUCCACUGGGCUGGAAGGGCUGCCUCUGGCCACUGGGCAGAAGGGGCUUGUCCUUGGAGGAUGGGGAAGAGGAGGCUGGGAAUGCCUGAGACUGAGCCUGUAAAGGGGCAGGAGGGACUGGGGAGAGGGGAGCCUCCUUCUCUGACACAUCCACCCGGGAGCCUGGCUGCUGCCAGCUGUCUGCCCGAGUUACUGGAGGCAAGAAACCCACUUUCCCAGGGCCUAACUGCAGGCCCCACACGGCUCCGUGGUGGGUGGUGUGGACUGCAGAAAUGUCUGCCUGCAGCGGGGCUCCGCGGCCCACUUCCCGCUCCGCUUCCUCUGUGCCUCCCCUGGUGGGGGAAGACCUACUCUUUGCCCAAAGAGCAGGUGCAGAGAGGCCAGGGCUUGCCACCUGAUGGCCCAGUUGGAAGGAUCUAGCAAACACACACCCAGCGUUGAGGGCAAUGUCCUUUGGACCUGGUCUGGUAUACCCUGUGCCCGUGGGAACAUCAUCCUUGGGCCUGGGGCCUGGGGCCACCCCAAGGAGCAAGGGGGGCCAUGGCAGAGAACCAUUCCUGCACCACUGGGGCUCAGCAGAGGGUCUCUGCUGCCUGGCCUGAGCUGUCCCUCUAGACAUACCCGCGCCUGGCCGGCGAAGCUGCUUGCCCUCUUCUGCCUCCCCACUGGUCCUGAGCCCCCUGCUCCCCUCUAACCCAGGCCCAGACCCUCAGCCCUCAGGACAGACUUAGGUGCAGAGCCGGCUCAGCUGUGCGAUUGUAACCCCUCCCUCUGAGCCUCCAUGUCCUAGUCUGGGAAGUAUUGUGAGGUUUGUAAAAUGCGAGGUGUGGAUGUGGCCCCAGGCUAGCCUGGGAAGAAGUGGGGAUGGGACGUCCUGACCUAGACGUGGAGGCGGAACUCAGCCGCCAGGCGAAUGUUUCCUGUUGGUGUGAACACCAGGGGAGGAGUCAUCCCUAGGUGGAUAUCCCCCCUGCCAGGCCCCAGGAGGCACCUGGAGCUUCCUGGGUGCCCUGUGGGGCCUGGGGGGGCGGGGGCAGGGUGUGUGGUGUGUCGUGCUGGUGGGCCUCGGUGGUGGGCACACAUGGUUCACUCAGCUGUCUCUUGUCUUCUCUAUUUCUUUGGCUUCUCUCCCCGCCCCCCUUGCCCUGCUUUUGCCCGGGGUUUGGCCGCGGGCAGUGCCAACAUACGGCCCUUACGGUAGGUCCCGCUCUUGGUCUGCAUGUCUGUCCUGCAUGUCAGUUCUGGUCACUGUCACUGGCAUGCCUGUCUCUGUAGCUCUUCUCCGUGUCCUCAUCUCCUUCCCACCGGCACCCCUGGGUGGGAGCGCCCAGAGCACCUGCCAAGGGCCACCCUCUGUAGAGCUUGCCUGCUUCUGUCCUGGUCUCUCAUUCUGGAAUAUGCCCCACCCUCUUCUGGGGGCACAGUGCUCUUCAUGGGAUAUCGGGGCAUUUCACGAUGUUUCCAAGAGUUCACAAGCUGAGUCAGGAAUCCUGGGUUCCAGAGGUGGGUUCGUCCCUUACAUCCAGGUGUCCUGGGCCACUUUUCCCCUCUGAGCCCAUGAGGACAGGGACAAUUGAUUAGAGGAGAUGAGGAGGAAGCCCUCUUAGAGGGAGCCAGUGAGUCGCAUCUGCUCCCCUGGGGGUGCAGGCCAGCCUGGUCCUGAUGGGGCCAGCCUCUGGCCCACUCUCCAGAGUGGAGGGAGCACAGCACUUCCCCAGGUUGUGGGGGACGCGCCUGGCGCCUGUGGAACCGGGCACCCCUGGCUUCCAGGCCCUCUGGCCCCACAUGCCCCAACUUCAGUUGGUGCUGAGCCUGCUCUGGCCUCGCUGGGGCAUUCUAGGCUCACUGCCCAUAGCUUGCCAGUCUCCAGCCUGGGUCCCUUCCCCGAAGCUGGCCCAGCUCCCAGUGGGGGUUUAUGUCUUCUCCUCUUCACAGUCGAGCCUCCCCUUGGGGCUCCCCAGCCAAAGAAGUCCAUUUUUUCCUGCCCCUUCUCAUAUCCUGGACCCCAUUCUCUGUCCCAGAAGGGGUGGUUGAAGGGCAUAGCUUUGGGUUGGGGGGGUCUGUCCCAGGAUCACGGGCAGGGGCUGAGCCACCUCCCUCUCACCGUCCCAGCCUCCUCACCUGCCCCUCCCGCCCCCUGCCCGGCAGGCCGCUGUGCCCCCAUGAAGAGCAUCUCCAGCAGCCUCAAGGAGACCAUGAACCCGCACGACAUCGUGCAGGAUGCCAUCCACAACUUCUCACCUGCCUACCAGCAGUACACGCAGCAGUCCACCCUGGAGCCUGGGCCCACCUGGCGUGGUGGCGCCCACGGCCUCUCCCGCUCCCACAGCCUCAGUGGCGCCCGUGACAACGAGAAGACUCUCCUGCUCAGCUCUGACGAUGAAUUCUAGGUGCGGGCUGCGGUGGCGGAAGUGCCGGCGCCGUAGCCGCGGUCAGGCUGUGCCCCACCUCCAGCCUCACCACCAGGCCAGGAGGCAGCUGGCACAGUGCUCACACCGCCUUUAUUUAUUGGACCAGAAACACUCACAUGUCGCUUCCAGAGGAACGGGGGACAGCCAGGCUCGCCCAUGGGCCUUCAGGAAUAUUUAUACAUGGCCCAGCCUGCACUGCCCGGGCGAGGGCAGAGGACACUGGGAGCAAGGCUUAUGCCCCUGCUGCCCGUCCUGUGCUGGGGGCAUGUUGGGACCAGCCGCACCCAGGCCCCAAUGCUUGUGUGUGGACCAGCGGCUGCAGUCUUCUAGCCCCUCCUUCCCGCGAGACUCUCAGGCUGAGGUCGGCAAGCCGUGGCUCCCCCACACACCGUGCAAUACCCUGUCUGACCUGGGCUCUUCCCGCCUGCAUCCCUCCCCUGUCCACCUUUGUCCAGUGCUAGAUUCACCUCACCCCGGGCAGGAGUGGGGAUGUGGGCGCUCUGCAGUCCUCCCCUCCUGACCCCAGGCCUCUGUGGCACGCUGCAAGGAUCAGAGCCAGACACCAGGAGUCACAGGCCCCACCCAGGAAGGGCAUUCAGGGCCCCUGGGCACCACUUCUGUUGAAGCAGGGGUUUCUGGGCCCCUGGGUAUCCCCACCCGUCGUGGCCCCUGCCUCAUGCCCCUUCCCCCUGGCCUACCAAGGACAGCCCACAGCCCGCACUGCCGGCUCACUUGGGUCCUUCCUUGAUAGCUUUGGGCAGAGCCCUUGCUUCCUGGCUGCUCCAGGGCUCAGGGGCUCCCAGCCCUCCUUCCCAGGCUGAUGCUGGGUCCUCUCUCUCUUUGGGGCUUCUCCCUCCCAUUUCAGGGGGAAGGUCUGAGUCUCCACGUUUCAGACCAGCUUCCGGGGAAAGGCAGUCCGGCAGGGAGGCGGGGAGGGGUGGCCACACGGUGGGGAGCUGGGAGGUGGGGGGAAUGGUCCCAGACUCCUCUCGGGGCCCCCAUCCACACAGGGCCUGGUGUUCUGCCCCAUCCGGCCCCUGGCCCAUCUCUUCUGUGCCUUAGUCACAUAUGAAAGCUCCCCUCCCUGGCUCCCCGUCUGUCCCAUAGGCUCCCUGGGGCUCUUAGUUCAGCUGCUGGCACUCGCAGGAUCCUGCGGUGCUGGGCCCAGAGCCCUUGGACAGGCCUCAGGAGUGGUCAGGACCACCAAGCCCCUCCUCUCCCCCUCCACACCUCUAGACCUGGGGCCUCCGGAGCCCUCAGCAGGCUGGGCUUAUACUAGCUCCUGACUUAGGAAGAGCCUCGUGUCACAACACGUGUCCCUACAGGCAAAGUGUCCUGGCAUUUAAAACCCAGAUUAUCCCUGGGUUUGGGCUGCAGUCACCUGGAGAAGCUGGUAGGGUAAGGGAGAGGGACCCUGCCGGUGUUCACUGGGGAUUCUUUCUUUUGGUCCUUCCUGGAAUGAAAAGGUUCCCUCCCUGCCACCUGUGAGGAGAGUCAGGGCCCAGCCACCUUCCUGGCCUCCUUCCCUCGUGCCAGAGGCCUGCAUGUGGGUGCCAGAGGCCAGCUCUCCCCCUCCAUCUUGGGGGGGCCUGACCAGCUGGGCCCAAGCUGCCCGGGAGGGUAGGUGCAGACACAGGCUGAGGACCAGCCCUGGCCCUGCCCCGCCGUCUGCUUUCACCAAGCUGUCUCUCCAACGUGGCUUCCCUUCUCCCUCCAGGCCAAAGUGUGCUGCUGAGUCCCACUCCCUUCGUCUUCGCCUGCCCCAGCGUUGCUGUUUGCGUGGAGGGUGGGGGUGGGGAGAGCUCAGUGGCAGGGAAUCAGCGGUCCCUGGGGUCAUGGGGACGGGAACAUGUGCCCGACCGCUCCAUCCCCUCCUCCUCCUUAGGAUGCAUAACCUACCUUGUCUUUUUUUUUUUUUAAUUUUCUUUCCAGAUAGAGUAGCUCUUUGUACAUAAAGAAUACUUGAAAAAUUAAUUGUAUGAUGUAUGAGAAGACAGAGUCUCCUAGUUUUGUAUCUUGUUGUAUGACUGCCAUGAGUUCCACCAGAAAGCCACUCUAUUUUGGUCUCUGUGACAUUUUAAAUGCGUGACAGAAGUGAGCAAAUAAAGUGAGGAAGAAAUAUAUAUAUGAGAUAA
rnacentral:sRNA from 1 species